rnacentral:rRNA from 1 species
UGGCCUCGAAUCAGGUAAGGAUACCCGCUGAACUUAAGCAUAU